GAUGAACGCUGGCGGCAUGCUUAACACAUGAAGUCGAACGAGGUUGCAUGAUACCACUUCGUGGUACCAUUUAACCUAGUGGCGGACGGGUGAGGAACACGUAAGAACCUACCCCUAGGAGGGGGACAACAACUGGAAACGGUUGCUAAUACCCCAUAUGCUGAGGAGCGAAACGGUGAAAACCGCCUAGGGACGGGCUUGCGUCUGAUUAGCUUGUUGGUGAGGUAAAUGCUUACCAAGGCAAUGAUCAGUAGCUGGUCUGAGAGGAUGAUCAGCCACACUGGGACUGAGACACGGCCCAGACUCCUACGGGAGGCAGCAGUGAGGAAUUUUCCGCAAUUGGGCGAAAGCCUGACGGAGCAAUGCCGCGUGGAGGAUGAAAGCCUGUGGGUCGUAAACUCCUUUUCUCAGAGAAGAAGAUCUGACGGUAUCUGAGGAAUAAGCAUCG
rnacentral:rRNA from 1 species